rnacentral:lncRNA from 1 species
AUGGCAGGGGGGUCCACACUCGCCGGAGGGCGGGUCUGGAGAGGGUGGAGGAAGGGGCGAGGCAGGUGCAUCCCGAGGGAGGAGAAGCCCGCACAGCUUCCCUGCUGGCCCCCUGGGAUGGGGCUGGAAUCCAGGCUGGCACCUGGAGGCCUUGGCAUGCUGCCCUGCUCAGCAGGGUACUCGGGCCACAGCAGGGCAGCAUGCUGCCUGUCUGCCUGUCCAGGAGGGCCCGCCCAGCCUAGCCAGAGGGUGGCCGGGAAGCAAUGGUUUCAAGGAGCUGCCCAGCCCUGCCCUGGGGCCUGGGAAGCUGGAAGGGAUGCUGGGAGGGGCCCUGGGCCCCCAGCCAUCACAGCCCAGGAUCUUGGCUCUGGAGGGAACCGCUUGACACUCAGGGGGCAGCCAAGCUGGCUGGGGACCUGGCCAAGGCCUGGGCUUGGUCUGGGCCAUGGAAAGGGCCUGGGCCAUGGUUCUGGGAGGCUGGCACCCUGGGUAGUAGGCCGCCAUCCUGCCUGUCCUGGCAUCCUGGAGGGAAAGGUGGGGCCAGCCUGCGGCUGGGGAGGAAGCCCAGAGACACUGCUUCCGAGGGCCUUCCAGCCCCCAGGCUCAAGGGAGGGGAAACUGGCCCCUUGGGUCACUCCCUCCCCAAGCCCCAUUCUGGUGCCACAGUGCUACAGCUGUCCAGGCCCAGCCCACACACCCCUCCCGGGUGACCUCGGACCUCCCCCUCUGCUUCUCCUUUUCCCUGGAGCCCAGGGUGGGCCUCCUAGCUGGCCUGGCCCGCACUGGGGGAGGGGCUGCACCUGGGAGGCCCCUCCCGGGACACCCCUUGCCAAGCUCCAGCCUGGCCCAUUUUCCCCGCCCACCUCCAACUCAGCUUGGCCCUGUCUGCAGCCAGCCAAGCAGGAGACAGUGCCAGGGUCUUGGGAUGGCAUUUUGGGGAGUGUGGGGACCCCUUGGAAGCAACCCUGUUUUUCUCAGCCUUUUCUCCUCCCCCUCCUUUCCGGAGCUGCCAUUAGCGCUGACCCCCUGACCCCCUGUGCCUGCCCACCCUUCCCUGUCUGUGACCUUUGA